rnacentral:lncRNA from 1 species
UUUCUAAGCCCCUUUGAGCUGGAUGAUUUUGUGGCAUCUGUGAAAUGUAACUAUUCUACAUUAUUGUUUGAUUCCAUUCAUGUUUCCCUUUUGCAAACAUUACGGAAGCAUUUGAUGUCGCUUUCCAAUGAAGGUGACAUGUCCUCAUCUAAUUGUCUCAGGUAUUUAGUUUACUUUCAUUCCAAAAGUUAUGCAUUUGACAUCCCCUUCCUUGGCUCUUAUUCUUUUCUAUUCAAUUUGUUAAUUAGGUCUCUUAAUUGGGAUUUGCUGGACUUGAUCACAUGGCCCAUGUUUGCGGUUGAGUAUCUGUUGCUGUACAGUUCUGAAUACAUACCUGGCUUUGAUCUGUGUCACUUGAAGCUUUCUCAGAGCGACUAUUACAAAAUACCUGUGUCGACAAAGAUUGAGAUACUGCAGCGCCUUUGUGAUGAUGCGAUGGAAGUAGAAUCCAUCAGGUUAGAGAUAAAUAGAAGGACACUGGCAACAGAACGCCAAGGGGGUUUUGUUCGGACUACGAAGUCUGACAGCUCCAAGAAAAGAAAGGCUAUGAUGGAUGUUGCUAGCAGUUCUUGCAUCACAGAGGAGGAUGUUGAAGAAACUGCAGAUUGGAACAGUGAUGAAUGCCGCCUAUGUAAGAUGGAUGGAAACUUAAUAUGUUGUGACGGUUGUCCUGCGGCAUUUCAUUCCAGGUGCGUAGGAGUUGUCAGCAGCCUGUUGCCAGAGGGGGAUUGGUAUUGCCCUGAAUGUGCAAUUAACAAGGAUAAGCCUUGGAUGAAAAUGGAGAAGUCUAUUCGAGGAGCAGAACUGUUGGGAAUGGAUCCUUACCACCGACAAUAUUAUAGCAGCUGUGGUUAUCUGUUGGUGUAAGUUCCUUUCUUUAUAAAAACCAAGAAAAUUACGUGAAUUUAAUUUUUGUGAAUGGUUAAUCUAUCAUUUAGGUCCAUAAACGGAAUAAUUCAUAAGUUGGUAGACAGAUCUUAUAAAUGUCUGAGUUUUGUGAUGUUUUAAUAAUCGUAAAGUUGCUGCGUCUUGCAUGGUAGUGAAAAUAUAGAAGGUAUAUAUUACAAAAUACAUUGACUUAAUGACUGAUAUUUCGAGAUCCAUUUCUAAACAGUCUAAGCAUAGCCCCUAUUUGACAACCAUUAUAAUAAUAAAUUUGGAUAAAAUGUAUUUUAGAAUAGUAAAUUUUGGAAAAAUGUGUGGUUAAAAAGAGAAGGAAAAGUUUUUGAUUUACUUGUAAUAUUAUUUAAUUAAAAAAUGUGAUUGAAAAUAAGAGAGAGAAAAAUGUAUUAAAAUUUUAAUGAGAACCAUAAAAGGGCAUACUUUUUUUUAUAAGCUCUAGCUUUUCUUAAUGCUUCGACGAUGCUGAAUCAAAGUUCAGCCUCUAUCCUUUCUGCCUAUUGCUUGGCUAAUGUGCAUGUAUACUUGAUUUCUAUGAUGCUCGGACUCUUCAGUCCGGUCGGAGUACCCGUAUCGACACGACUCGACAUGGGUAUGAGUAUGAGACAUGGGGCGGACAUGGUACUUUGCAACCGUACACAGCAUGGUGGAGAAAGCGACAGCACUAAUGGAGAAAACAUCCGAUGAAAUUCACGGCCAUGAUUGGAAAUUGAGACGCCGCUUCAUAAAUAACCUUCUUCGCCACAUUAGCAUUCGUUAAAAUCGAUGUGAAAUAUACAUACACACACACACAAAAUUGUGAAUAUCGGAGGUGAACAAGAGCGUUGCUACCAACUUACCUACUCUAUUAAAGUAAACUUGAUUUUUGCGAUGUUCAGACUCUUCAGUCCUGCCGGAGUACCCGUGUCGACUCGACACGACACAGGUACGGGUAUGAGAUAUGGGGUGGACACACUACUUUACAAUCGGACACGGCAUGGUGGAGAAAGCAGCAACACUAAUGUAGUAAACAUCCAACGAAAUUCACGGCCAUGAUUCAUCGUCAUCAACAGCGGCAGAAAAAUUUGGGGGUUUACAUGUGAGUAUUCAGGAAGUGAGAACGAAGUAAAAUGGUUGUCGCGUAAAGGGCGGAGAUAGGAGACGAUUAUGAAAAUGAGACAGCGGUGGGAAUGGAUGUAGGGUAACGUAGAGUUAAAAGGCAAACGGACAAUUUCUAGAACAGCCCACCUAACUAGCUUAAGAAAAAAGAGUGUUUAUAGGUGGAAGCACUAACUUUAAGAGUUUCAUGGGCUUCCUAUUUCUUGGCCCAUUUCUCCAAUAGCCCAACUAAUUGGGUUAAGAAAAAAGAGGCAGUCUUCUCCAAUUUAUUCCUUAAGACUAGCGGGUGCCUCUUUUCCAAUUCUCGCCAAUCAAAUCAAAAAGAGCUCUACUUUUAAAAAAAUAACUUCUAAAUACAUUCAAAUAUUAUACAAAAGUUUACUUUAUUUUAGUCCUUUUGAAGUUUCAAAGACGUACCCACAUAUCCGUGUCCGAAAUUUGGACCUUUUUUAGUCAUGUCUUCGUAUCUUACAUUUUAGAAAAUAGAAGGUUCGACACUUAUAUAUGUACCUGUACCAAGUCCGAGCAUCAUAGGUUGAUUUAGUGCUAUUGCAUUUGAAUUUGUUGGAAAAGGUUUCUGUCCAUUGCUAGUUGUGGAAGAAAGAAACAUCGAUUUCUUUUGGAUUGCGUUUGGUGAUACAUUAUCAACCUGAUGUUGGUGUUGGAUGCUCACAGUAUCCAAUAUCAUGAUGAUAGUUUCAAUUUGGUAAUCAUAAGUUGGCUUAUUAGGGUGGGCAUUAAAUGGAGGGCAUGCAUAUUUAUUUUUGCCUAUUGUGAUGGCUACAAUGCACUUGGAAGGGGAUUGAGCUAUUGCUUAUUAUAUGUUUAUUUCUUUACUGGCUGCAGUGAUCAUGACUCCUUUGGCAUGUUCUAAUUCAAACUAUAGUGGUGCAAGCCUCCUAUCCCGAACCGUAGUUUUGUUGGUUAAAAAAAAAAAAAUAAUAAUAAUAAUAAUAAAAUAAAAAAACCGUUUGGCUGUGCUUAGAAGUUAUUUUUGUAGAAUCUAGUAAUUUUUGUUAACAAAACAAGCAAGUUGGAAAAGCACAUUUGGCAAAAUAAGUAACUUUUACUUGAGCUAAACAUACUUGAGCCUUGUUCCCAAUAAAUAUGGAGUUAUCUACACGUGUCUAAUUUCACUACUCUAACUGCUCCCUGAUUGAACGAGAUUCUUUCCAGUAACAGAAGGAGACUUGGUCCAAUGCAUAAGACCAUUGUAUGGACUAUAUUUCAACAGUACAAGACUUGUCCUUACCUCGUGCAAUGAAGUGUUUAGUCCCGUUAUUAAGAAGGAGAUGAUGCCGAGAAGGAUUAAAUAGUUGAUAGCGAGCAAUCAUCUAGAAAGGUUGAAUUAUCGUUCAUAUGAAACGAGAGUAAUGAAGUACCUAUUUUUUGGAAUUUAAUAGUCAAUCUUCUUUUGUAAUUGAGUUGUAACAACUGCAAAUAUUCCCUCCCUCUUUGACUUUGAUCGAUUUACCUGCAGAAUGUGCAAUGGUCUUAAUAUUCAGUCGAAAAAAAGGAAAAUAUGCCAUUGAGUUAAAUUAAUAAAAUUUUACUUACUUAACAGGACAACAAGAAAGCCAUGACCUAUUUGAUCCUUCAGCCAUUUGGGCUUCAAUUUCAAGAGCGGAUUAGUGAUCUGACGCUUCUCUCCAUUCAUUAUUUAUUUGUUUCGUAUUUUAAUGCAACUUGUUAUAUCUACUAUUUUUUUCUUUACUGUUAUAACAACCUUGUAAUUGGGAAGAAUGCGGGAUAGUUCGUCGAGAGGAUUCAUGACUACAUAUAUCAAAAGAUCCAAUAUCAACCAAUCCUUUGCAACAUUUUAAAUUAUCUCAUCUAAAAGUUUAAGUUGUUAAAGGACAUAACACGUACUCAUGCAAGCCAUAUUCAUUUUGUAACUUGUGUGCACAACUUCUAUAUAUGGACAGUGGCAUGCCUUGAGCUUAAGAUUCCUGGCUUCUUUGAUACCAUGUUGAACCAUUUUAUAUUAGCUUAAGCUAUUAGAGAAAGACGUGUAUUCAAAUUUCGUCGCCAACACGACCACAUCACAUUAUGUUAUUUUGGUCUCGUCUUACUAAUUAUUAAUAAUAAUUUGUAAUAUUGUAGUUUACAACUACGAAAGAAAAUAACCUCCCCUUUGUCUUCAUGGUACGUUAUGUCUUGAACAUAAACACACACUAUACUUUUCAACACAUUUGUGGUCUAUUGCUUUAAACCGCCCAACUACUCUUCACUUCUUGGCCGAGUCACCCCCUCAUUUAACCUAUUUUGUGUUGAUGCCAGCUCCUAUUCGAGUUUUAGUAAAAUGUUCGCUUCUUUGUCACUAGGUUUCCAUUUGAUUUUGUUUUGGAUAAGAUGAUGGAAGAUUUAACAAGCUACGACUUGAAUACAUGAUCAAUACUUUAACAAAAUUCAUUAUAGCUUUUUAAUCUACUAGCAAACUAGACCUCAAAAGAAUAUAGAUAAAAAUUUUCUCAGAGUCUUCUCUCUUUAUAUGUUUUACCAUACACGCUAAGACUAGAAAGAAAAGAAUUGUGAUUAAAAGCAGAGCUUUAUGCUCUCAGAGUGAAGAGUUUCUCCUCUUGUUAAAAAUGUUUGCUGGAAAUUCUUCUGUAAAAAAGAGAAUACCAUUUUAGAAUUUUGAAAAUCAUUUAAUUGAAUAAAGACAACAUGUUAGCACAUGUGCACCACUUUAAUAAUAAGAGAGGGGAUAGAACACUCAAUUUCACAACUUCUGUAGUAUAUUCUAUAGUUCAUACCGAUAUAUGAAUUUAUGUUUUUAUGCAUUGCCAUCAUUACAACAACUAAUUAAGACUAUAUGAUUCUUUUUCCAUUACGCCAAUAGGUUCAUUGUUAGAUAUAUUGGGAGACAAGUUUUUUCAUCCUUAGUAACUACUACAGCCAUGUUGUUUAUCCCUUUUUUGAUUUGUUCUACCAACAUCAUCACUCUUAUAGUGGGAGCCUUUUUAAGUUCAUGCAAAGCAUGUACUAACCACUUAUGUUCCUCCUAUAUUUUAUCCUCAAUUCCAAUCGGCACUACAUCCACUGGUUGGUGCAAAAUAAUUUUUAUUGGGUAUUUAAUAUAUCUAUUCUAGUUAUGGAGUUACUAACUACUAGGGCAUUAAUUGUACAUUUUUACGUUUUAAAUGUUAAAUAACAUUAGCUUUACUCAAAAAAGAGGAAGAAAAAUUUAAAGAGAUGUCUUGAGGCGUAAUCAACUAUAGCCCCUCUUAAGCACCUAAUUUUCAAUUCACAAAAUGCCUUGACAUGUGAAGAGCAGUUAGAUGGGGCAGAAGUGUAUCAAUUAACAAAAAAAAAAAAAAAAAAAGAAGAAUGUAUUUGAGUGUAUAUUAACUUGGCAUUCCCGUCAGACCAAGAAAUAAACUGUCUAAUGUGGGACCUAUGCAUUGUUUUAAAGGAUGUUUGAGUCUUGCAUUAAACACCUCGAUGCUUAUGUCUCGAUUGCCAUUUGUCAAGGCUUACACCUCAAAUUAUUGAGAUUUACUCCUCAAGGCUAGUUUUUUCAUUAUAGGCCUAAGCUAUUUGGGCUAUUAUUUCACUAGUCUAUAUGCCUUGUACAUAAGGGAAGGAUAAGAUGUCAUUGCAAGUGGAUACUUACAAAGAAUGAAAAGGAGUUAAUUGUUCCAAUGGUCACUCAACUUAGGUCCAUAUCUUUGAUUGAUUAUUGAAAUUUAAAAUGUCGAGUUUUGAUCACUGAAUUUAGGUCAAUGUCUUUUAUUGUUCACUAAACUUAUGUCAAUGUUUUCAAUUGCUCACUGAAGUUUAAAAUGUCGAGUUUUGAUCACUGACCUUUGAAAAAUGUUGUACAUUACUCAAUGAACUUUGGAAUAUGUCGUACGUUACUCACGAGCAUAAUUGAUGAAUUAUGAAAAAUAUCGAGUUUACAGUAAGUAAUAUACAAUAUUUUUCAAAAUUCAGUGACUAAUGUACAAAAUUUUUCAAAAUUUAGUGGUCAAAACUCUACAUUUUAAAGUUCAGUGGCCAAUCAAAGACAUGGAUCUAAGUUCAGUGACCAUUGGAACAAUUAACUCAAUAAAAAGUAACUUCAAUAGUGUGAGGAGGAUGAUAAGGGGGUUCAAAUAUGUUGAUGAUUUCUCUUAAAAGUCCCAUGCAAUGAUGAUAUGAGAGACUUGUAGGUUGUUUCCUCUUAGUAGUGCACUACAAUUUUGGUACGUGAUUAUUAAGUUGAGAAUAUACUAUUUACUACUUUAUUCGUCUAUUUUAGGUUUAUCUGCAAAUUAGACUUAAUGUUGUUAAAUUUGUUUUAUUAUGGAUUUUUAAGAUGGUAUAUGGGUUGUUAUGGACAUAAAUUUUGUAUUCUCGUAUUCUUUUGAAUUGUUCUAUUGGUUUGUCUUGAUGUUGGCUUAUGCACAGCCUCACUGAGGUAAAAUUUCUCAGUACCCAAUUGAAUCUUUUUAUAUAUCAUGAUAUCAGCUGGUUAAAUAAUGCCAUUUUUGAUUGGUGGAUUCUUAGUAGCUAGCAUGGUCAACCUAAACACUAACCGCUUAGUUUAGUACUUUGAAAGAGUGCGUAAUGUAACUUGAUUCAUUUAUUGAUCUUUUAUCCAUUAACAUUGUUGUUCAUUUAGUUUUGAGCUGCUACAACUUUUAAACUGAGAGCUAGAUUGUUCUUAAAUGUGAUAUAUUUCCCUAGAUUUGAUCUACGUGCAUUAGAAGUUCUAAUUCUAGAAACCACAAAAACCGGUGUUUAUGUCAGUCACGAUCAUUAGAUUAUUUUACUCAAUCGAUCACUGCACUUCCAAAUUUUGCUGAGAAAGUUAUAUUAUGCUUUCUUUAUAUCCUCUUUCCAGUAGGCGCUGCAAUUAUCUUACAAUAAUGAACUUACCUUGUCCAUGUUUUCCAUGAAGUUCAAAUCUCUUGUUAUUAUUGGCCUUGUGAUUCUGUUUUGAUUAUUAACCUGUUAUUAAUUAACGAUGCAAUUCCUCAUUACUUUGUGUUUCUCUUUUAGUCGUAUAAUUUAUGGUGUUUUGAUCGUUUUGGCUUUGUACGUGCGUGUUGCUUUAAAUGUAUGCUGACUUCUGCAUGACGAUACUAGCAGGUCAGAGUUAUGCAAUGAUGAAUAUUCGUUUUGGUACUACCAUAAAAAUGAUUUACCCAGCAUUAUAGAUGCACUAGAGUCAUCCCCAUUUGUAUAUGGCACAAUAAUAACUGCUGUUAGUAAGCAUUGGAAUGUCACUUAUGGAGAUGAUGGGUCAAAAACUGAUUUGGAUGCUCACUCCUUCUCUAUACAAUCUCUUUUUCCUAUAAAAGGGCUGCUGCCUCAUAUGCAUCCUAUACCUUCAGAAGCACAUAUCAAGGAUGUUGCUGAAAGAAAGUCGGAAGAAAAAUCCAUCGUCUCUACUUACCCUAGUAACAUAGAACCUGGGGUUCCGGAGUGUGUCAAUAUGAUGUUGGGGACUGAUAACCAUGGUGCAAAGAUGGAAAAUCGAUUGGCAAGUUCUGAAGGAUCAGCCGAAGUCUCCCAAUCAGUGACUAACACUGAUAACAUUAAGGAAAGUGGGCAGGAUUGUUCAGAAAGAGGCACUGGUAUAUCAUCAUAUAAUUCUGAAAUUCCAUCGAAGUUUGUGAACUCUGGAAAUCAUUAUUUAACAUCUACUAUCUUAGAAAUUGAACAAAGAACGAAUCUCAUUUCUGCAAAUCAUGGCCGUGCCCCAUCCAUCAUAGAUCCUUGUGGAAUUAUGCCUCAAGGGUGUUGUGCGGCAACUUAUGUUAACUUCUAUGAAUUUGCUUGGACAACAUCAUCAGUUGUUGAAGCGUUAAUGCGUAAAUCAUCAGAAAAGACAUCUGAAAAAAUCAUAAGAUCAGAAGAAGAGGUUAUUAUCGGGCAGUUGAAGGUUAUAUCAAGUAAAUCUGCUUAUUUAUGCUGGCCGAAUAUUCAAAAUUUAAUUGCAAAGAGUAGGAAAGAAAAAUGUGGGUGGUGCUUCACUUGCCAAGGUCCUGAAGAGGAAAGGGACUGCUUAUUCAUUGUGAAUGAAAAUGGUCCUGCUGUUGAAAAUUUUACUAGUGAGGUUUUGGGUUUUCGGUCUAGAAAGAACAUGAAAAGCCAUCUUAUUGAUGUCAUGUGCCAUAUUAUUUGCACUGAAGAUCGUCUACAAGGGCUUCUGUUGGGCCCAUGGUUAGAUCCUCAAUAUUCCGAGCUUUGGCGUAAAAGCGUUCUUGGAGUGUCUGACAUUGCUUCAUUGAAAUGUUUUCUACUCAAGGUAAGAAUAUUUCCUUAUUGGAUCUCUAAGUUUAUAUACUUGUGGAUAUAUAUUUAAAUUUUUACUGAUGCUGAGGUGUUAAACUCCAAAGAUUAUUGUCUUCUUAAAGAAAUAGUCUGUCCUUUUUAAAAUGAUUGUCAGAAAGUAUCUUUCGUUCACGUGAGAGCUCAUCAUCUGGCUGUGUCUGAACAGGUAUUUUUUGACCUUGUUAACAACGCUCAGCCUUGUGAAUUAUCACAGAGAAUAAAUCUUGGUUUGCUUUGACAACUUGCAGAACUAUUUAUUAUCAAGAAUGGGAUGAUGAUAUGGUCCAAUAUAGCAAACCACAACAUAUUGUGCAGGAUCUGGGCUUGAGUUUCUUUUGAUGAGAACAAUAGCCAUAGGCUGUUCAUUUUAACUGACUUUCACAGUAGAAGUAAAAUGAUCUGUUGCAGUUGGAUAUUGUCUGAAGUUUUAAUUUGGAAACAGUGAAUUUGAUUAUAUAUACAUUGGCAACAGGUGAUAAAUUUAGAAAAAAAAAUAGUAAACGAAAAGCUUCCUUAUUAAAAAUACCUGAUGGGGUAUGCCAGCCACUCAAGUCUAGUAAAUUUCGAUAAUCUGAAAUUUUCCUUUGGCAUUUUGAGGCUCAAGGGCGUAACAAUGUUUUCAAAAGUAUACAUACAUGCACACAUCAUAAUUCCAGGAAGAUAGAUAAUGAAAUAUGCUAAUCUAUUUCUCAGCUCCAGAAAACAUUGUUGAUGGCCUUAGAAUGUAGAAAUUUUACCAUCUUAUAUUUCUAGACUACAAAAGUACAUUAAGUUUAAAUGACAAAAAACGCAUAUUCCGGAACAGAAUAAAACAUGGAUAUAAGAUGAAUCUUUGUCUUAUCUUUUCAUUUCCCUCUUUUCGGCUUUGAAACAUUUCUAUUCGUGUUUUCCCUAUUGCACUUCAUACUAGUUAUCUGAUUAUUUGCAACUUUCAACACCAGCUAGAGUCAAACUUGCAUCUUCGAGCACUUUCAGCAGAUUGGCUGAAGUACGUGGAUUCUGUUCCUACGAUGGGUUCUGCUUCUCAUGUUGUGAGAAAUUCUGUACGAGCGUCCAUGAAACAUGGAAUUGGCAGGAAGAGAGCUAGGUUUUUGGAGCUGGAUACAACUUCAUCUUCAAGUUCUGCAAAUGGAUUGAUCUUAUUUUGGUGGAGAGGUGGGAGAAUUUCACGUCAGCUGUUCAAUUGGAAGGUUCUGCCUCGCUCUUUAGCUUCCAAAGCUGCCCGACAAGGUCUGGAGUAUCUAUUCUUCUGUUUAAACUUAGAUCCUUGUGGAAAACACACUUUUCUGAAUAUGUUUGAAGUUUAAACUGUUGCAGGUGGAUGCAAGAAGAUACCAGGCAUCCUUUACCCUGAGAGUGGAGAAUACGCAAAAAGGAGUAAAUGUGUUGCCUGGCGAGCUUCUGUUGAGACAUCAAUAAGCGUGGAACAGCUUGCUUUCCAGGCAUGUCUCUCUUAUGAUUCAAUAUGCCUCCCACCUUCAUUCCAAUAUUUGCUUUCCAUUCACCUUGGCCUAAAGGCCAACCAGAUGUAAAAUGAUUGCUGGCGCCAAACUCUCUAAAGGGCCUGCCUUUUCUUUUAUUAUAUUUUAUUCACCAAGUGAUGGUCUAUGGGAAUUUAGUCUAGCUGUCAAAGAAUAUCACAUUUAUGAUACUUAAAUUUGUUUAGAUUCCUGGUCUGUACGAUGAAAACAUUCUCUGAACAGCUAUUGGCUCUACAUUUUACCCCAUCCAACAGGGGAAAGAGAUAAGAACAAAGCAAUAUGUUGCAACUUAACUAAGGGGGUGUUUGAUAUCCAUUUUCUUGUAAAAAUGCAUUUUAGAAUAAUAAAUUGAUGGGAAAUGUGUGGUUGAAAAAUAAGGAAAUUUUUUUGAUUUACGUAUAAUAUUAUUUUAAUAAAGAAUGUGUGGUUGAAAAGAAGAGAAAAAAAUGCAUUUUGAAAAAAAUGAGUACCAAACGGGGCCUAAGUUAUUUGUCGUUGACAUUUUUCAUGUGCCCAGGUCAGAGAGCUUGAUGCAAAUAUCAGAUGGGAUGACAUUGGGAACCCGAACCUUCUAUCAAAGAUGGACAAGGAGUCCAAAAAGUCAGCCAAAUUAUUCAAAAAAGUUAUUAUACGUAGAAAGUGCUCUGAGGGAUCAGUGGUUAGGUAUCUUCUUGAUUUUGGCAAGAGAAGAUUUAUCCCUGAUAUUGUUGUGAUACACGGAUCCAUGCUUGAAGAUUCCUCUAGUGAAAGGAAGAAAUAUUGGCUGGAAGAGUCUCAUGUUCCAUUGCAUCUCCUGAAAACGUUUGAAGAGAAAAGAAUUGCUCGCAAAUCAAAUAAGACAUGCUCUGGAAAACUUCGUGAGAGCAGUGUGGUAACGAAUAAAACCUUCAAGGAAAAGGGAUUUUCAUACCUUUUCUCAAGAGCAGAGAGAUUGGAAAAUUAUCAGUGUGGACACUGUAACAAAGAUGUUCUCAUCAGGUAUGAUAUGAUUAUUAAUUGUUAAUAUUGGAAUUUCUUUUAGAAAAAACAGGACUAUAUUUUUAUCAAAGAAAGGGAAAAUGAGUGGCAGUAGAUAACAAGUUGUUCUUAGACAAACAAGACCCUUCUAAUAGUUCUUAGAUUCGAAGUAAAAUCAAAAGAUAACCAAACAUAAUAUGCAGUUACUUUUGAAUAUGCAGUCUUGCUUUAUAGUUGUAGUUUUACAACAUAAGGUUUGAGUCAUUCCUUUUGAUAUUUUCUUUUGUGAGGUUAGAUAAUCUAGAUGGUUAGUUAAUUUUUAUUUUUUUUAUUUUUCUCUGUUGGACAUGUGUGUUGGUGUACCCACAUUGGCUUUCUUUAUGGUAGAUACAUGAUUUGAUAUUGGUGUGAGGUUAUUUGUGCAUGGACAAGUUUUUCCUUUUAUGUUACAAAUUAUAUGCGUAUUGGUUUAAAAGUAGUAUGUAUAUCCAUGAUUCAUUAAUUUGAAUAGUAUUAGAGAACGUUGUGGCUUAAACUGUUUAUGUUUGCUUGUGAAUCACUUUUUGGCCUCUGAAUUUGCAGUCUCAGUGAUCAGUUUUCUCUUGUCCAUUUGCAGGGAAGCAGUGAGUUGCCAGUACUGCAAAGGUAAACUUCUCUUUGUGGAAGAGUUUCU